rnacentral:siRNA from 1 species
ACCGCGGGUUAAUAUCUAGUGCA